GUUUACCGUGAAAAAAUUAGAGUGUUCAAAGCAGGCAGAUCCAAUUUUCUGCCACCGAAUACAUUAGCAUGGGAUAAUGGAAUAGGACCCUGUCCUCCUAUUUUCAGUUGGUUUUGGCAGCGCGAGGACUAGGGUAAUGAUUAAUAGGGAUAGUUGGGGGCAUUAAUAUUUAAUUGUCAGAGGUGAAAUUCUUGGAUUUAUGAAAGAUUAACUUCUGCGAAAGCAUCUGCCAAGGAUGUUUUCAUUAAUCAAGAACGAAAGUUAGGGGAUCGAAGACGAUCAGAUACCGUCGUAGUCUUAACCAUAAACGAUGCCGACCAGCGAUUAGGAGACGUUGAAUACAAAACACCACCAUCGGCGCGGUCGUCCUUGGCGUCGGUCUUUCGGGGCCGGCGCGGGGGCGGCUUAGCCCGGUGGCACCGGUGAAUGACUCCC
rnacentral:rRNA from 1 species